AGAGGAGCACCUGCAGCAUAUGGAAGUGCCCAGGCUAGGGGUUUAAUCAGAGCUACAGCUGCCGGCCUACACCACAGCCACAGCAACACCAGACCCGAGCCAUGUCUGCUACCUACACAGCUCAUGGCAACGCCGGAUCCUUUAGCCCACUGAGCAAGGCCAGAGAUCAAACCCACAACCUCGUGGUUCCUAGUCAGAUUCGUUUCUGCUGCACCACAAUGGGAACUCCAAUUUUAUCACUUUUAUUUCACAAAUAGAGAUGAUGGAGCUAGAAAGUUGUGGAAUUGGGAUUGUAUUCAAGUGCCUCUCAUUCCAAAGGCCAUAUCUGAGCAGUUCAUAAUGAGGGGCAGUGCUCAGCUAUGCCCAUCUAAGGAGUAUAACUAGUUUCUGCAAUAUUAAGUCAAGAUUAGCUCUAACUGCUGGAGAAGAGUGCUACAACACAAAUUUCACAAUACACAAAGAUACACACACACACACACACACACACACACAGUUUUCAAAUGAUGUAAAACAUCUAUUAAAACUAAUCUCUUGUGGAGCUUCAGUUACUCAUUAGGCAUAUCACCACUCACAAACCAAGAGAACUGCAAUGUAUAAUUACCUCAAGGAUGCUUUUCCCUGAAAAUGGCCUGUUGUGAUGCUAAAAGUGAUUAACAGACUAAGAGUGUGGUGAAUCUUCUUGAUAUCACUUCAGAAAAGUGAUUUCCUCCCUAAUAAUUCCCAAGAUACAUAAAUAUUCAAUUAGGGGCUUUGAAAUCUACUUUCAAUUGGGCAGUCAUAUUCUACCAAACCUCAGACUUGGCCCAGGCUAAGAAGGUGUUUUAGGAAUUCUUACUAUACCCCACCCCAAAAAAAUCCCAAUAACUCUUCAUGAGUUUUCAAGUGGAAGGGUAAAAUGAAGCCAAGAGGAUUUUUUUUAUGAAAUUUUCAAAUUUAAUAACAUUUUAAGACAUGCUCUCAAGAAAUGAGGUAAAACAAUUGCAUAUCUGAAUCACAUAUUCGCUUGGGGAAUUGACUAAAGUUUCCUGAGACCCUCAUGAGACCUAAUAAAUAAUAAUGACAGCAGAAAAUUGUUACAAUCCUAUUAUUAUGUGCCUGGAACUGUUUUAAACACGCUGCAUAUAUUUUUCCAUUAAAUUUUCACAACAACCUAUAGAUUAGGUACAUGUGUUAUACCCAUUAAAAUGUAUCAGGAAAUUGAGGGAGGCAUAGAGAGAUCCAGUAUCUUGCCCAAAGUCAAAUAACUUAUCAUACCUCAGCAAAUACAUCAGAGUCAUGUCUCUUCACCACCACACCAUUCCUACUCUCCAGGUACCAGAAUAUCAAGACCUGGGGCCUAGAUUUUAAAUUUCCCCAGAAGCAUCAUGAUGGAGACCUGCAGUUUAAAACUGCUGUUUCACUAAUUGAGGACCAAAAAUAGAAAAAACAAGCUUUCUGCAUUGGGAACAGAAAAAUGAACAUGUCAAAUAAUGAAUAAAAUACCCAUCCAUUGUGUGUCUUUUUACAGCUUGAGCGAUCUACUUGUUUUCUCAUCCUGGAUGGCUCGUCAUAUGGUCCUAUGGGGUGAACUUUGAGUACAAGCAGGCAAAUCUUGAAAAGUCAACAUCAGUGGUUCUCAAAUUCUCUGGUUCUAGGACCCUUUAACCCACUUGAAAAUUGAAACCUAAAGGAACUUUUUUAUUACAUUGGUUAUAACAAUCAAUAUUUAUAUAUUAAUAGUAAAACUGCUAAAAUUUUAAGACAUAAAAAUACACCAGCACACACACCAUGUGUCCUCAAAGCAAUGAUGCCAAAGACAUAUCAUGUACCUUCUGGAAAACUUCCUUGUACACAUGUUAAAGUAUGACAGUGAAAGGUAAAACAUCUUAGCAUUAUUAUGAAAAUGUUUUCUUCUCAUAGACCUUUUAAAAGGUCUCAAAGACCCACAGAUUUUCCCACAACACACUUUGAGAGGACUGUCUGCUCUGCAGAAUAACUGACAGAAAAGUUUUACCAGAGAGUAAUAUUUAGCUGGUUGAUUUAAUUUUCCAUCACAGAGAUAAUGUUCACAACAAUUAGGAUAACCACCAAGAUUCCAUUGAAGUUCUUGAAUAAUAUGGACCAAAUAUUAACUUAUAACAUACAUAUAUAACCACUCUCACUAAGAAAUUCAUUAAUAUUAAAUUCUUUUUUUAAGUGUCAAUAAGACAUUAGUAAGAAAUAAAUCAUUAAGAACUACUGGAUCUGUUAUGAUUAAAUGUAGGAGAAACCCAACCAUCUCACCCACUCCCUAAAACAAAUGAAGAAUUUAAAUGAAUUCAGAGUAGAACAGCUAAUAUGUGUUUAUAUUUGUAUUUGUGAGUGCAUGAGCACUCUUAACAAUUCUAAGGAAAAAAAUGACACCUGACUACUUAUGCGGUAGAAGAGUUAAUUUUCUUGGGCCACACAGACACUCAGAUCAGGUAAUGACGUUAAAAUAUUUGGGGGCAAAAUGCACAUCUUUGGUCUCAUAAAUGCUAUUCAUAGACAUGUUUGCACUACUCUCUUAUACUGACUAGUAAGCAUCAAUAUCAAAAUCACAAUCAACAAAAAAUCUGGAUUUUUCUUCCCAUUGAUCAACAAAUACACAGCUGCACACAGAGACACACAUGCACACACCGAAAAGGAAGGAAAAUUUUCAGGAGGCCCUUACUCAUAUUUGAAUGUUUAGUUUACAUUUUAUUAUAAAAUAGGGUAUUCUAUAUAGAAAUUCAUUUGCAUAAAAGAAAAAGACAUAAAUGCAAUAGUAAUCUAAGCAUAAAUAUGUCCUUGAAGGCAAAUAAAUGCUAAAUUACAACACAGCCUCUGUCUUUAGGGUUCCUCUCUCUGUGAGCAACUGCAUUUAUUUUGCAUGUAAUGCAAAUCUAAGAAAUCAAAGGGAAAAUAGCCAUUUGCAAAACUUAAGGAAAGAUCAUCUCCCUCUAAUUUCAACUGCUCUAGCCAUUCACACCAUGCUAAAUUGAGGCUGCAUGGCAUUGCUCAAACUCCCUCUUUGUUUUUAAAUACACAAUCAGUUUUCCCUGCUGAUUUCUGGGCAAAAAUGCCCCACUUCUAAAAGUGACUGUCACUCCUACUUGGCAGCUCUUUUCAAGGAGAGUUUCAACCAGUAGUUAAAGAGGUCCAAAUGAAAUCUGAAAAACAACUCAGUUUAGCAUUACAUUGUUUGAUUGUCUGAUUGACUUCAUUCUUUUGAUUUGAUAACCUUUUUGAUCUUCUAUUUAGGAUUAGUUUGGCGAUAGCUCACCAAGGGAUUGAAAGGAAAACCAGUCCAUAAAAAUUUUGCCUUUUCUAAUUACUAGAAACAAUGCCAGGCACAGUAGCUGGAGCCAGUAAGUCUCAUACUCACUAUUAUUCCCUGUGGAAAGGAAUAUUUAAAUCUCCGAAAUGCAAGAGGAUCAUCAGCAAGAAAAUCAUUUCUAAAAGACCUUCCAUUCACAUUUUCGUGACGGGCUCUCAAUCAGCAGGAUAAUCACACCAAGCAACUUAAAAUGAGACAUCAAAAGCAUUUAACCAUCAAGCAAAUCAUAUGCUGCUUAUCACUCUACAGGCCAGGGUGCCUGGAGCAGCCUAACAUGCCUAUCGAAAAAAUUUCAAUAGUUCAUAUAAACCUUUAUACUAAUCAUGCCUCCUACCCCAAGUUUAUAGAGCUAGUCCAGUCAACCAAUACACCAAUGGAGCAGAUUAUUGAACAUUUGGUUAUGAAGUGCUAGGGAAUGCAUUUGAGCACUUCUGAUACAUUCACCUUCAGCUAAAGACAGCCCAAUACACUGACAGACACAGUUCUAAUGACAUCAGGACCUGUGGAAUGUAUGACUGCUAGGAAACACAUGCUGCUAGGAAACAAAGAACAGAUCUGAUCAAAUCUUCUAACAAUAAGGAUUGGGAAUCACUGUGACUAGAUCUUCUAAAAUAAGAAGGCAAGUAUUCUUUAAUCUUCAGAUAUACUGCAAGUACAAAGAUUUUAACACACACCCUCUGGAAAGGGAAGAAACAAAGCUAGAUUCUCAAGGGUAAAAUCACAAUUCCCCAAGUUUUCUAUUAAGAUGACUGCCACUAGCACUAUCCCAUAAAAUGUAACAAUCAAAAUCAGGCAUCAAUGAUUGAGUAUUUUUUUGGCAAUCUAAGCUUUUUCAAUAAGUCAAGAUCUUAAAAUUGAAAGAAAUGUAGAAUUCAUGGCACCCAGAAACAAAGUACCCUUUUACAUUUACAGUGAUAUACUUUUUUCAACAACAACAACAAAAAUAGCCAUUUGCAAAAAACACUAAAGCAGUCAGAGCUAAUCUUCAGUUAAGGAAUUUAAUGUCUUUUUAAUUAUUAAAACUGAAAAGCAAUUUAGUUUUCCAACUUUUUAAAGCUGUUUAUCUUUGUACAUUUUUAACCCUUGGUUACCAAAAGAAAAAAGAAAAAAUUGAAUGAAACAAAGGUGAGAGAGAUUUCAAUACAAAUAUCCUUUUAACUUUUACACAAAUUAUGUGGAAAUCUCUUUUGCUGACACUAAAAAAGAGCUGACAACUCUGUCUGUAAUCCACGGACCAACAAACUGGGCUCCAGAAUGCCAGGCCACUGAGUACCAUUACAGACUAUCAAAUACACCAGGGAAAUCUAGAUGAAUUCUAUUUACUCUCAUAACGAAAUAAAGUGCAUUCUCCAAAUGAAAAAUUACUAAAGAACUGUUUCUUGUAGAUUCUGCAAUGACAUUCUUUAGUAUUGAUAGUCCACAUGACGCUAAAUUAGCAGACCGCCUAUUUACUUCAGAGCAAAACACAUAAGGUAAUUUUUCCUUCCUGCCAGAGUCGAUGUGUCUCCUCAUUUCCCCAGCAGCUGGCUGAAAGGAUGUAGAAUCAGAGGUGCAAGAAGGCUUAUACUUCCUCAUGAGUAAUCCACCCAGGAAAGUAAACACAACAGACAUCACCAGGUUCGGCCCUAAAGGAGACUGUGGCAGGGCUGCUUACACCGUUGUUUACAAUGUGCUCUAACUACCGCAGGCAGAAUCACACACAGGCACAGGGAGGAGACACCCAGAGGUGGCUCGCACGCCUCGAGUUAGCCCAAUUGCUAUGAUAUCUCUGGCCAUAAAUAAAGUAACGCACGUUUCUAUCGGAAAGUGGCCAAAGAAUUCCAGAGACCAGAGCUUAUGCUGACUUGACUUUGUUAUUUCAAUCUGCCCAAGAGAAGACUCUAUCCCUUGGUCCUCAUCAGGGGCAAUUAUGGGUGCAUCGUACGCUGCACCAGAGACUCACGCGCCGCACGCAUCUCGCGGAGGUGCUCACUACGGGAGAGGGGACACAGUGAGGCUUCCUCAUAACCUCUAUCGCGCUCCCGGGCCUCCUCAAACCAGGUUUUCCAGUUAAGCGGAUCCCAAGCGAUUUUGAUAAGCAAGCUCAGCUCAAGUAGCAUCAGCUGUGCCAUCCCCGCAAAUAUCUCUGGGCCACCCCCCGGGCGCACGAACGCGCACACACAGACACUCACACGCCAAUCCCGCUGCCAACUAACCCUGGUAGCAGAGGUUCCGCCUCCUGCAUACACACCCACCCACCUAUAACUGCUAGGGGGCCUGACGCGUUUAACCCCCAAGCUCCGACCUGGGACCGCCGGCUGGCGCGCGGCGGCACCGACACUUCGCUGCAGCCCGGAUCCUCCCCUUCUCCCGUGAGAAGACGAGGGGUGCCUGCCUUCCUACCUGUACCCCAGCCGACCGCGGCCACCAGUGCUCUGCCCACCCCUCCCCGGUGCCCAGACCACCCCGAUUCGUGCAACACCGCCCCCAACCCCGUGCCCACUUCCAACACCGCGCCGCCCCGGGCCACCCACGAAAGUGGCAGCUUUCUCCAGCCGAAACCGCCUAACAAAGCCCGAGCAAGCAGAUCCAAACCAACCGCCGUGAAGGGGACACAACGGGCGGGGUGUGGGGAAGGAGCUUGGCUC
rnacentral:lncRNA from 1 species